UCUGGAGAUCAAAUUCAGAUCAUCCGGCAUGGUGGCACUUGCCUUUACCAGCUAAGCCAUCUCAACUAGCCAGUGAUGGUUAACCUUGACUCUCAACUUGAUUGAAUCUGAAAUCAACUAAGAAUUAUGGGCAGGUUUGUGAAGCUAUUUCCAGGGAAGAUUAACCGAGUGGUUAAGACCCAAACCCAGAGUAGGCAGCAUCUUCCUGUGGUGACCCAGCUUGAAAAAGAUCUAAACAAAGGCAGUGCUCUACGUUUGCCUGUUUUUGCUUCUUGCUAGUGAGUGCAUCUAUUCUGUGGUUGCUGCUGCUUCUCCCAUCCUUUGCUACCCUCAGAACCUGACCUUCCUGUGUGUACUGAAGACCAGUGGAUCUCCAGGAGCCUUCCGUUGGAACUGCCAAGGCAUCCACCUUUGUGUAUUGAGCAGCUACAGCAUUCUCGGCCUCUGCAGUGUGAGGACAACCAUUGUUGGACCACUGGACACAUUGCGAGGACUGACCACUGAGGGUCUAAUCAAGGGGAGGAAUGGAAACGGACAUCGGUGUUAGCAAGGCAUGAUCCUCACAAUCGAGAUUCAAGCUCACGUUGAAAAACUACAGAAACAGACUCGGCCGAACAUGUGGCACACACCUUUAAUCCCAAUACUCAGGAGGAAUUGGGUCACGUGAUUGUGAAGGCUGAGAAGUUGCAGAUCUACCAUCCACAGACCGGAGAACCGGGGAACUAAAUUUUUUGACUAAGUAAGCCACAAUUCCCAAAUUGAAACAAUAUAGUGCAUAUGUGUGUCUAAGAGCUUCCAUCUCUUUCCAUGUUGUGGUUUGACUGCAAAAAAAACCAUUCCCUAUAGACUCCUGUG